UUGAUUGAUUUGUUUUUUCUCAGACUGCAAAGUAUACAGAGUUUGGUCUCCGACGGACGGAGGGGCGUCUACUAUAAAAAGAGGCCGCCACCCGCACAGAUCCUCGCGUUACAAGUAACCCGACGACCCACAUCCGUCAAAGCAACGGGUAAUACACAAGGGUGGAGACCGUGAAAAAUCACAGAACUCGGUAAUGAUCCUUCCGCAGGUUCACCUACGGAAA
rnacentral:misc_RNA from 1 species